rnacentral:lncRNA from 1 species
AGUUGCUUAGCGCCUUGCUUUUGCUGAGGCUGGCUUUGAACUCGAAAUUCUCCUAUCUCAUCCUCCCAGAGCCUUUGGGAUUACAAGUAUGCGCUGCAGUGGCCAGCUUUAAAUAUGUUUAUGAGUGGCAUAGAAGUAUAGGUAAACUAGGCACAGUGACACAUGCCUGUAAUUCCAGUGACUCUGGAGGCUGAGGCAGGAGGAUCCCAACUUUUAAGGCCAAUCUGGGCAACUUAGCAAGACCCUGUCUCAAAAUAAAAAGGGCUGGGGAUAUAGCUCGGUUGCACAGCAUUCUGAGUUCAAUUUCCAGUACCAAGAAAAAAAAGGAAGGUUGGGGUGAUUAGAGAAAACUUUCACAUUUUGUGGGUAAAUACUAAAAGAGGGUAGUUGAAUGGACUAAUGAAUUCUUAGAGUUGGAAAGGAGUUGAAUAGGUAGACUUUUAAUGAGUUUUUACAUUUUCAACAUUACUUUUUGAAUAAAUAUUGAGUAGCAAAUUAUUAUUAUUAUUAUUUUUUUUUAAUAUUUAUUUUUUAGUUUUCUGCGGACACAACAUCUUUGUUUGUAUGUGGUGCUGAGGAUCGAACCCGGGCCGCACGCAUGCCAGGCGAGCGCGCUACCGCUUGAGCCACAUCCCCAGCCCUUGAGUAGCAAAUUAUAUGACAUCUAUUUGAUGAAACAUGUUACUUCAUAAACAUUCUGCGAUAUUAAAAACAUUUUAUAACUUUUAGUGUAUACUGACUUUGUCAUGAUAUCUGACUAUGGCUCCUAGAAAUAAUUCUGUAGACAAAAGUACCGAUUUAGUAGAGGAUUUUUGUUUUUGGUUCAGGGCAUUGAACCCAGGUGUGCUUUAUCACAGAGCCACAUCCCCAGCCCUUUGUAUUAUUUAUUCACUUAUUUUUUACUUUUUUUUAAAAAAAUGUAUGAGUUCUAAUCAGUUAUACAUGACAGUAGAAGGGCUUUUCCAUUCGUUUUAUUUUGAGAUAGGAUCAGGCUACCUCCCAACUUGUGAUCCUCCUGCCUCAGCCUCCUGAGUCGCUGGAACUACAGGCAGGCACCAUUGCUUCUGGCUCAAUUUACUGGUUUUUAAGAAUUAUUUAAUGAUAAGUGGGUGAAUGUCGUGAACUUUGAAUACAUAAUCUGGAAUUAAGAAUUACUCUUACAAAAUUUCUUCAUUCAACAUGUACUUAUUGAACAUCUACUAAUUUCUGGGUACCAGGGUAGACCGAGGAAUAUAAUGAUGCACAGAAAACUGUUGGUUCUUUUAGGAGUUUAUUUUCUAGGACAGAAGUCAACAGGCACAGUAGGACUUGAUGAAUGUAGAAACGGGGAAAUAGAGGCAGUACCUCAGAAGAGCAUUUAACUAACUCAUGUUUCUGGUUGAGCUUUGUGGGGUCUGUAUGUGUCUUCUUAAGGAUUAUACCAGGGUUGACCAUAGGAGGGAGCACUAAGUAGAAGAUAAAGAGGGAAGAGGACCAUUUAUAUGGGCAGAUGCAACAUUCUGUUUAUAAGCUUGGUGAGAGUAGAGGAACCUGAGGUGUCUAGAGCUCUGAAUAAAGGUUUCCCAAUUAUCUGCUCCCUUUCUUUCUUUCUUUUUUUUUUCUUUUAAAAAAUGUGUUCUUUUUAGGUAUACAUGACAGUAGAAUGUAUUUUGAUGUAUUAUACAUAUAUGAAGUAUACCUUCUUGUGGUUUUACAUGAUGUGGAGUUUCAUUGGUUGUGUAGUCCUAUAUGAACAUAGAAGUUAUGUUCGAUUCAUUCUACUCUCUUUUCCUAUCCUCCCUCCCUUCCCAUCAUCUAAUCCAAUGAACUUCUGUUCUGCUGCACCCUCCUUAUUUAUUGUGUGUUAGCAUCCGCAUAUAGAGAGAACAUUCAGCCUUUAGUCUUUUGGGAUUGUCUUAUUUCACGUAGCGUAUCUUAUUUCACAUAGCAUGAUAGUCUCCAGUUCCAUCCAUUUACUGGCAAAUGGCAUAAUUUCAUUCUUUUUAUGGCUGAGUAAUAUUCUGUUGUGUAUACAUACCACAUUUUCUUUAUCUGUUGUUGAAGGGCACUAACUAUUGUGAAUUGAGCUGCUAUAAACAUUGAUGUGGCCAUAUAUAUAUAUAUAUAUAUAUAUAUAUAUAUACACACAUACAUAUAUACAUAUGUAUAUAUAUAUAUACACAUAUGUAUAUAUGUAUAUAUAUAUAUAUUUAUUUAUUUUUUCUUUCUGGCUUUAAGUCUUUGGGUAUAUGCCGAGGAGUGUAGCAACUGGGUCAAAUGGUGGUUCCAUUCCAAGUUUUCCAAGGAUUUUCUUUCAUUCCCUUUCUUUUUAAUGUGUCUCAUUUUAUAGAUUAUAAUUUUCUAAGGACAAAAAGUAUGUCUUGCAUUAUGGCAUUCACAACUAUUGAGAAAAUGAAAAACUUUUCCUAAGUGUCUAAUAAAUAAAUACUUUUCGCCUUUAAAGGGAAAAUGACACGAAUUUAGCAAGUUCUUUAAUUAAAAAAAUUCAGAAUUAUGAGAAAGUUUGUAAGUUUUAUGAUUUUGAUUUUACUGUUAUGUUUUACAAUGUAAAUACAUCUGGUUAAUGAUGGUACAGUACUUACAUCUCUUUUUCCUCUCUAAACCAACCACAAAAUAAUAGAAAUAGAAUUAGAGAAAAGAAACUCAAAUCUGGAAUGACUACCAUAAGCUCAUAAUCAGAAUAUGUGAACAUUAGAUGUCCUUAGGUGCAGAGAAAAUUAAAUCAAGACAAGAUGCUAAGAAAGAAUGAUUUCCUCUUUAGAAUCAGGUUGGUGAGGGGAGCAGCUUUCUCCCAAGUAGGUGACACACCCUGAGGGCAAUAACUUCUUGCGUGGAAUGACAAAGUAGGGCAUGUAUUGGGCUCCCCAAGUGGCCCAGGAGGUGGGGCAGAAUUAUAAACUGCAGUCCUACCAUUUUUGCAAGUUCAAAAUGGAUGGAGCAUAAUGGCGCAUACCUAGAAUGCCAGGGAUUCAAGAGGCUGAGGCAGGAGAACUGCAAGUUCCAAGACAGCACAGGCAAUUUAGCAAGAUCUUCUCUCAAAAAAAGGGGUGGGGAUGUAGCUCAGAGGUAGUGUCCCUGGGUUCAAUCCCUAGUAAUGCUCCUCCCUGUCCCCCCAAAAAAAUAGGGGCAGAAAUUGUUAGCAAGGAAACUCAACAUCUGCUCAUGUUUAUCAACUAAAAAGGAAUCAAGGCUAAAGAAUCAUCCCUUUCAAAUCUAUGCCAAGUGGAUACUUAUGGGCUUGGGAAAGUAGUCCAGCAAGGAGUUAGAACCUCCAGAGAACAGUGAUAAAAAUUUUCAAAAACGAGGGGCUGGGGACGCAACUCAGUGGUAAGAACCUGCUUGGCAUGCUUGACUUGCUUGGCCUUCAGUUCCACCCCCAGGACUGGGGGGGAAACUUUUUCAAAAACAGCAGAGUAGGUGAAAAUUGUGAUCAAGUAGUUCCAGUGGGAGGAGAUGGGGUGGAGUAGUGGUGAGGCAUGGCUCCUCUGAAAUUAGAAUUUAAAGAUGAGAUUUUAAAGUUCAAGAAAAACAAUAACAACUGAAAGAAAAGAGAUAAGAGUGAGCUGAUGAAACCAGUGUACAGAAUAAAGAGAAAAGCAUGGUUAUUUAUACAAAUGAAUGUUAACUUUCAAAGCAAUAGAUAAUGGAGGCAAGCUUGAGAAAUUUAAGAAAUCAAAAAAGAAAAAAUUAAAGACUUUAGAGACAAUGAUAGAUAAGGAAUAUAGUGCAUCUAGCAUACCAAUAAUUGAUACCAUCGAGGAUGUCAACACAAUAAAUGAAGGAGGCUGGGCAUACACUCCUAUAAUCGUGGCUGUUCAGAAGAUUGAGGCAGAAUUGUUGAGUUCAUCGCCAGGCUGGGUAAUUUAGUGAGACACUGUCUUAAAAUAAAAAGUGAAAAGGGAUGUGGAAGUAGCUCAGUGGUAUAAGUGUUUUGCUACUAAGCCACAUCCCUAGCCCUUUUUAUUUUGAGCCAGGAUCUCACUUAAGUGCCCAUGGUCUCACUAAAUUGCUGAGGUUGGCCUUGGACUUGUGAUCCACCUGCCUCAGCCUCCUGAGCUGCUAGGAUUACACAUGUGCACCACAGUACCUUGUUCAAUUAAAAUAUUUUUAAUAAUAAUUUUCAGCAAUAAUGCUGAUACAUACAGUUAUUUGUGUGAAAUCAAGAAAUGUCUUCUAAUGGAGAGACUAUAAAUCUUCCAAGAAAACAGCUAUAUGGUGGAAUAUGUAAUGAAUUAAAAUUUACAAACAGUACAAAGAAAUAUAAUUAAUUGAGAUGAAAUAUCUGUCAUAUAAGUAAACUGAAGCAAAAGUCAAACCUAAUAAAAGAGUAUUUAAUAGUUGAUAAAGCCAGGUGUGGUCCCAGCAAGGCUAGGAGGUCCCAGAUUCAAGGCUAGCCCGGGGAAUUUAGUGAGAUCCUGUCUCAAACUAAAAAAGUAGAAAGGGCUGUGGACUGGGAUAUAGUUUAGUGGUAGAGUGUACUGGGUUCAAUCUCCAGUACAACCCCCCUCCCCCCCAAAUAGCCAGGAAUAAGGCUGAGGGUGUAGCUCAGUGGUAGAGCAUAUGUCUAGCAUGCAUGAAAUCCUGGGUUUGAUCCCUAGCACUGCAAAAAAUAAACAACAACAACAACAAAACAGUAAAUAAUACUUUAGUAUUUUCGGCCUGUGGCUCUGUGAUGUCUGUCACAUCUGCUCAGCUUAUGAUAACCCCCGAAGCAGACAUGGACAGUAUUUAAGUGAAUGAGCAUGGCUGUAUUCAGUAAAAUUUUAUUUACAAAAACAGGCAGUGUUUCAAAUUUGUCCUCUAAACCAUAGGUUUUCUGAUUUACGAUCUUAAACAGUGUCUGAGAAAAGUUGAGAGCAAAGUAUGUGCAGAGAUUUAACUUGGCAAGCCACAUUGAACUCAACACAGAGAAUUGAUUGAGUUACUUUUGUUUUUCUUUUUGCAGAUCUAGGGAUUGAACCCAGGGCCUUUGUGCAUGCCAGACUCUUAUCACUGAAGUAUAUCCCCAGCCCUGCUAUUUCUUCCCCCCUCCCUCCCUCUUUUUCCCGUUCCCCCCAUUCCUUUCUUGUAUGUUAAACAUACUCUACUCCAAUCCUUCCCUUCCUCCCUUCCUUAUUUUUUUGUACUGGAGAUUGAACUCAGAGGCACUUUACCACUGAGCCACAUCCCCACCCCUUUUAAUUUUUUACUAAGUUGUUUUGGGCCUUGCUGAGGCUGGCUUUGGCACCUUCCUGCCUCUGCCUCCAGAGUCGCUGGGAUUACAGGUGUAUGCCAUCAUACCCAGCUCACCAUUAAAAUUUUUAAGACAAAAAGAUAAGGGAAAAAUAGAAGUUAGAUUAUAGUAGGGGAUUUUUGAUUCAACUCUUCCAGUCCUUGAUAGAACAAUAAUAGAGAAUAGGUUAUGA